CUUGUAUUCCCUCCGUCCGAAAAUACUUGUCAUUGAAAUGGAUGUAUCUAGAUGUAUUUUAGUUGUAGACACAUCCAUUUUGAUGACAAGUAAUUCCGGACGGAGGGAGUACUUG
rnacentral:pre_miRNA from 1 species